rnacentral:rRNA from 1 species
CCUAUGGGCGGCAGCAGUGGGGAAUAUUGGACAAUGGGCGAAAGCCUGAUCCAGCCAUGCCGCGUGUGUGAAGAAGGCCUUCGGGUUGUAAAGCACUUUCAGUGGGGAAGAAAGCCUUGGGGCUAAUACCCUCGAGGAAGGACAUCACCCACAGAAGAAGCACCGGCUAACUCCGUGCCAGCAGCCGCGGUAAUACGGAGGGUGCGAGCGUUAAUCGGAAUUACUGGGCGUAAAGCGCGCGUAGGCGGUCUGAUAAGCCGGUUGUGAAAGCCCCGGGCUCAACCUGGGAACGGCAUCCGGAACUGUCAGGCUAGAGUGCAGGAGAGGAAGGUAGAAUUCCCGGUGUAGCGGUGAAAUGCGUAGAGAUCGGGAGGAAUACCAGUGGCGAAGGCGGCCUUCUGGACUGACACUGACGCUGAGGUGCGAAAGCGUGGGUAGCAAACAGGAUUAGAUACCCCAGUAGUC